rnacentral:misc_RNA from 1 species
GCAAACUUGGUCAUUUAGAGGAAGUAAAAGUCGUAACAAGGUUUCCGUAGGUGAACCUGCGGAAGGAUCAUUACAAGAUGCCCGGGGCUCCGGCCCCGGACCCAUCCACCCUUUGUACUACCGUAACCUGUUGCUCGAGCCGGCGCCGCAAGGCACCGGCAAGAGAUAACCACAACCUUUGUUCUGGAGUGUCUGAGAAACUUGCAAUAGCAUAAAACUUUCAACAACGGAUCUCUUGGUUCCAGCAUCGAUGAAGAACGCAGC